GUCCACGCCGUAAACGAUGAGUGCUAGACGUUGGGGGACUCGGUCCCUUGGUGUCGCAGCUAACGCAUGAAGCACUCCGCCUGGGGAGUACGGCCGCAAGGUUAAAACUCAAAGGAAUUGACGGGGGCCCGCACAAGCGGUGGAGCAUGUGGUUUAAUUCGACGCAACGCGCAGAACCUUACCAGCUCUUGACAUGGGAAGUAUGGGACCGAGCGAUUGGUCUCUUCAGUUCGGCUGGCUUCCACACAGGUGCUGCAUGGCUGUCGU
rnacentral:rRNA from 1 species